AUGGCGGCAAUGCCGUGGCUUCUGCUUCUUUGUGUUGCUGCUUCCGGCACGCUCCAAGCCCGCGCGCAGCCAGACAGCAAAGGAUUCAUAAGCAUAGACUGCGGUCUCUCGGGAGAGAGGGGCUAUGUGGACGAAACCACCAAGAUCUCAUUUGUCCCCGAUGCUGGCUUCACCGAUGCUGGCACCAACCACAAUAUCUCAGCCGAGUAUGUCACCCCUUCCAUGGCCAAGAGCUGGUACAACGUGCGCAGCUUCGCUGGUACCAGCGCCGGCACGCGCAGCUGCUACACGCUCCGUUCCCUUGUGUCUGGGCUCAAAUAUAUCAUCCGGGCCAAGUUCAAAUAUGGCAACUAUGACGGCCUCGACCGGAAGCCCAUCUUCGACCUUCAUAUCGGCGUCAACUACUGGACAACCGUGAACGUCUCCGAUCCAGAGACGGUGACAUGGGAGGAGGCAAUCGUCGUGGUGCCAGACGACUUUGUGCAGGUGUGCCUGGUGAACAUCGGUGCCGGCACGCCGUUCAUUUCUGGACUGGACCUGAGGCCCCUGAAGAGGAAGCUCUACCCGCAGGUGACCGCGGAGCAGGGUCUGGUCCUGUUUAAGAGGCUCAACUUCGGCGUGACCAACGCCGCCACCUUCUUCGACACGGUGACGUGGGGCACGAUAUCAACCACCAGCAAAGUGGAGCACGACGUGAACAAGGACAUCUUUGAGGCGCCCACGGCGGUGUUGCAGACGGCUAUCAGACCGAGGAACGCCUCUGGGAACUUAGACUUCAACUGGCGGUUGGAGCCCACCCCCAACGACCCUUCCCCGGGGUGCAUCUUUAUCCUGCACUUCGCCGAGCUGCAGGUCCUCCCCAGCAAAGCCGUGCGCGAGCUGAACGUCGUGCUCAAUGACAAGCCGUUGUAUACAAGCGGCUUCAUGCCAGUUCACCUCUACGACUCCACCGCCUACAACAGUAUCCCCUUCAGACACAGCGGCUACAACCUCUCCAUCAAGGCCACUGCUAACUCGACGUUGCCGCCUAUCAUCAACGCGUUCGAGAUCUUCUCCGUCAUCCCCACCACCAACCUUGGCACGGAUUCCCAGGAUGUUUCUGCAAUCAUGGAGAUCAAGGCGAAGUAUCAAGUGAAGAAGAACUGGGUGGGUGAUCCAUGCCUUCCAAAGACCAUGGCGUGGGACAGGUUGACCUGCAGCUACCCCCCGGGCAGCCCUACAAGGAUCACAAGCGUAAACCUGUCCUCCAGUGGUCUAGAUGGUGACAUAUCAUCAGCUCUCGCGAAUCUCAAGACAGUCCAAUACCUGGACCUAUCGAACAACAACCUUACAGGCUCAAUUCCAGAUGCUCUUUCACAAUUACCUUCACUGACGUUUUUAGAUGUUUCAGGCAACCAGCUAAAUGGAUCGAUUCCCUCUAGACUCCUCAAAAGAAUUCGAGAUGACUCUCUGGAUCUAAGAUAUGGCAACAAUCCAAACCUCUGUACCAACAGUAAUUCAUGUCAGCUGCCUGCUAAAAAGAACAAUAAGCUAGCCAUCUACAUUGUUGUACCCGCAGUUCUUGCGGUGAUAGUAUCAGUGAUAUUGCUACUGUUUUGCGUGCUAAAACGAAAGAAGCGAUCAAUGAACAACUCCGUAACGCGCCGGAAGGAGAUGAUAACAACCUAUCCACCGGGAAACAAUGUCUGCACCGACAGUUCGCUGCAACGCCUUGAGAACCGUCGGUUCACGUACAAAGAGUUAGAGAUGAUAACGAACAACUUUCAGCGAGUGCUUGGACGGGGCGGGUUUGGGUAUGUCUAUGAUGGCUUCUUGGAGGAUGGCACCCAGGUGGCGGUGAAGUUGCGGUCUCAUUCUUCCCAUCAAGGCGUCAAGGAGUUCCUUGCAGAGGCUCAAAUUUUGACACGGAUUCAUCACAAGAAUCUUGUCUCCAUGAUUGGUUAUUGCAAGGAUGGAGAGUACAUGGCACUUGUGUACAAGUAUAUGUCGGAAGGAACACUGCAAGAGCAUAUUGAGGUGGGAAGCAACCACAACGCAUCACGCCUAUCAUGGACAGAAAGACUACGAAUCGCACUUGAAUCUGCGCAAGGGCUGGAGUACCUACACAAGGGUUGCAAUCCGCCCCUCAUCCACAGAGAUGUUAAGGCCACCAACAUUUUGUUGAACGCGAGACUCGAGGCUAGGAUCGCUGACUUUGGCUUGUCCAAGGCCUUUGACGACAGCAAUGACACCCAUGUGUCUACAAACACGCUCGUUGGCACCCCCGGAUACGUAGAUCCGGAGUACCAGGCGACGAUGCAGCCAACAACAAAGAGUGAUGUGUACAGCUUCGGAGUCGUGCUACUGGAGCUAGUCACGGGGAAGCCGGCCAUCCUCCGGGAGCCGGUGCCUGUGAGUAUCAUCCAGUGGGCACGUGAGCGGUUGGCACGGGGCAACAUCGAGGAUGUGGUGGAUUCACAAAUUCUUGGAGGUUACGAUGUCAACAGUGUGUGGAAAGUUGCAGACAUUGCACUCAAGUGCACCGCACAGAUGUCCACGCAUCGACCCACCAUGACUGAUGUGGUGAUGCAACUACAAGAAUGCAUUGAGCUCGAGAAGGCUCGUGGUGGUGAUGACAUCACAAGCGAUAGAUUUCUCUCUGGCAACAGCGGUGAGAACCCAAACUUAAGUUAUGAUGCUUACACGACUAAUCAAUCUACUAAUGUGAGCCAAAACAACAGUACAUUUGAGAUGGAGCAUAAUUUUAAGAGACUUCCGACAAUGGAUACUGGUCCUUCUGCACGUUGA
rnacentral:rRNA from 1 species